GACGAACCGAGCGAACGUUAUUCGGAAUCACUGGGCUUAAAGGGCGCGUAGGCGGGCGGCCAAGUCAGGGGUGAAAGCCCCCAGCUCAACUGGGGAAGUGCCUCUGAUACUGGUCGCCUCGAAGGAGAUAGGGGCGUGCGGAACUUCCGGUGGAGCGGUGAAAUGCGUAGAUAUCGGAAGGAACACCGGUGGCGAAAGCGGCGCGCUGGAUCUCUUCUGACGCUGAGGCGCGAAAGCGUGGGGAGCGAACAGG
rnacentral:rRNA from 1 species